GAUGAAGAACGUAGCGAAAUGCGAUAAGUAAUGUGAAUUGCAGAAUUCAGUGAAUCAUCGAAUCUUUGAACGCACAUUGCGCCCGGCAGUACUCUGCCGGGCAUGCCUGUUCGAGCGUCAUUUCAACCCUCAAGCCCUGCUUGGUGUUGGGGCCCCACGGCUGCCGUGGGCCCUGAAAGGAAGUGGCGGGCUCGCUACAACUCCGAGCGUAGUAAUUCAUUAUCUCGCUUAGGGCGUUGGGCGGCGCUCCAGCCGUUAAAGAACCAUCUUUAACUCAAGGUUGACCUCGGAUCAGGUAGGAAUACCCGCCGAACUUAAGCAUAUCAAUAAGCGGAGGA
rnacentral:misc_RNA from 1 species